GACGAACGCUGGCGGCGUGCUUAACACAUGCAAGUCGAACGCUGAAGCUUGGUGCUUGCACUUGGUGGAUGAGUGGCGAACGGGUGAGUAAUAAGUGAGUAACCUGCCCUUGACUCUGGGAUAAGCCUGGGAAACUGGGUCUAAUACUGGAUACGACAUGUCACCGCAUGGUGGUGUGUGGAAAGGGUUUUACUGGUUUUGGAUGGGCUCACGGCCUAUCAGCUUGUUGGUGGGGUAAUGGCUCACCAAGGCGACGACGGGUAGCCGGCCUGAGAGGGUGACCGGCCACACGGGGACUGAGACACGGCCCAGACUCCUACGGGAGGCAGCAGUGGGGAAUAUUGCACAAUGGGCGGAAGCCUGAUGCAGCGACGCCGCGUGAGGGAUGACGGCCUUCGGGUUGUAAACCUCUUUCAGCACGGAAGAAGCGAAAGUGACGGUACGUGCAGAAGAAGCGCCGGCUAACUACGUG
rnacentral:rRNA from 1 species